rnacentral:rRNA from 1 species
CGGGGUAGAGUAACGCGUGAGGAACCUGCCUCAAAGAGGGGGACAACAGUUGGAAACGACUGCUAAUACCGCAUAAGCCCACGGCUCGGCAUCGAGCAGAGGGAAAAGGAGCAAUCCGCUUUGAGAUGGCCUCGCGUCCGAUUAGCUAGUUGGUGAGGUAACGGCCCACCAAGGCGACGAUCGGUAGCCGGACUGAGAGGUUGAACGGCCACAUUGGGACUGAGACACGGUCCAG